GGCAUUUGUCAUUCUUGCCCAUGACUUUAGCCUGGGAGCCAGAUAACAGCAUUGGAACCUGCUGCAAGUAUCUCCUGUGGCAGGGGCCUGGAGUCAGCCCUCUACCUUUCUGGGUAAAAUCAAGCAUAACAGAUCUGGGUAGUAUUUGGCACAGUGCUCUGGGAGACCCUGGUGCUGAGACACUGAGAAAAAGGGGCCAAACGCUGAUUUCUGAUAUGGAUGUGGAGGAGCACUCCGCCUUGUCUUUUGUUAGCAGUACAAGAGCAAGCUCUUAUUUUGGAAGAAGCGCUAAUGCCUAAUUUCCUGACAGCUGAUGACAAUUUGUCCUUCUGAGAUAAGUACCAGGUCCUACAAAUAAUACCUCCCACCCGCGCUGAGCACACAGGGCCUAUUCGUGGGUGCUUAGAGCUCUCCCCCUUGCUUCCAGGGCCUCAGUGUUUCCGGAUCUUAGGCCCUAAAAAUACCCCUCCUCUCUUGCCUGAGAAAGGCAGGCGUUGCGUCUCCUCCUCGGCCCUCAGGAUGCAGUCGAAGCUGCCUUGCCUCCUCGCCCAUGGCUGCAAGCGCUUUCGUGGCUCUCC